rnacentral:rRNA from 1 species
GCCUAACACAUGCAAGUCGAACGAAGUAGCAAUACUUAGUGGCAGACGGGUGAGUAACAUGUGGGUAUCUGCCCUUUGGCCUGGAAUAACACGAGGAAACUUGUGCUAAUACCGGAUAAGUCUUUACAGAGAAAGCUUUAUGCACCAUUGGAUGAGCCCGCACUUGAUUAGUUUGUUGGUGGGGUAAUGGCCUACCAAGACUGUGAUCAAUAGCUGAUUUGAGAGGAUGAUCAGCCACAUUGGGACUGAGACACGGCCCAAACUCCUACGGGAGGCAGCAGUGGGGAAUCUUGCACAAUGGAGGAAACUCUGAUGCAGCGAUGCCGCGUGAGUGAAGAAGGCCCUUGGGUUGUAAAGCUCUUUCGUCGGGGAAGAAAAUGACUGUACCCGAAUAAGAAGGUCCGGCUAACUUCGUGCCAGCAGCCGCGGUAAUACGAAGGGACCUAGCGUAGUUCGGAAUUACUGGGCUUAAAGAGUUCGUAGGUGGUUGAAAAAGUUGGUGGUGAAAUCCCAGAGCUUAACUCUGGAACUGCCAUCAAAACUUUUCAGCUAGAGUAUGAUAGAGGAAAGCAGAAUUUCUAGUGUAGAGGUGAAAUUCGUAGAUAUUAGAAAGAAUACCAAUUGCGAAGGCAGCUUUCUGGAUCAUUACUGACACUGAGGAACGAAAGCAUGGGUAGCGAAGAGGAUUAGAUACCCUCGUAGUCCAUGCCGUAAACGAUGUGUGUUAGACGUUGGAAAUUUAUUUUCAGUGUCGCAGCGAAAGCGAUAAACACACCGCCUGGGGAGUACGACC